GUUUAAAAACGAAAUAGGCCUAACGCUAAUGUAUUAUGACGAGUAAAAUUUAUCCAUCAGAAUUCUGUCAAACUUCCCUGAGAUCUAGUGCACCUUCCAUUGGUUGGACAAUGUUGGAAUUAUUGAGUUCACCUUAAGCCGAGAAUGCCUGUUUACAUCAAGUUUCAGCGUAUGAUGUAUAAAUAUCGAAAUAACAGAAGUUUGCGUAGCAUUCUGGAAAGUGCAUUUUCACCUCGAGUUUCCAGACUGUUAGACGUCAUACAACUCGAUAAAUAUCUCUGAUGGUCAUGCAAACACUUCGCCGAACAGCCGCUGAUUGUAUACCAAAUGACAGAGAACAGUUGGGGUGAUUGUCAAAUACUUCCAAGAACAACGUCGUAUCUAGAACGUUGGGGUUCUGUUAAAUAUUUCCGAGAACAACGAUGUAUAUAGAAUUAUAAAGUUCACUAACAGUGUUUUGAACUAAAUGUCCUUUCAUCGCUAUUUCAACACUUUCAUUAGAAGGUUAUUUAGUAAGCACAUCUCAGAGACUCAUUAACGUGUAACUUAAACCAGUAGAGAAAUGAUAAUAAGUGUACACAUCAAACAGAAACUAUACGAGUGCCCGAAGUUCCUAGAAACUAUGAAAACUAAGUGUAUAUCUGUCUUUAGCGUUCGCAUAACUCACUAUAUAUUUCUUCACAUCCAUCAAUCUUCUCGAUUUAUGUGCUUAGUACACAAUUUAAUGUUGUAACUACAGAAAGGUAUCAUAUUAAAACGCAAGUUAUAAGUAACUCAAUCGUGCUUUACAUUAAAACUGGUUGAGAUAACAUCAUCUUUUAUUUCAACAGUUGUGUACGUGUGUUAUGAGGAAUAGUUACUGACAGAGGUGAACAAAUGUUCUACCGGGGUCUUCCGGAACUAAACAAAAUAAUAAAGAUGCUUAAAACAUGGCUAACAGUUUCCAAACUUAAAGUACGUCAGCUAUAAAAGUGCAAAGCAUGCUUAUGGUAAAACUGGAGCUAAAGCCUUAGAGACACAUCUAACUUUAAAUAUAUAUUGAUAUCGAGACAAACAAGAACAGCCAUGCUUUCACUUUAGUUUCAUUAAAUGUUUUUCCAUGCUGGGUAAGAAAUCAUAUGUUUGUGUCUUAUUUAGGUGAAUAGAAUAAGAGUACAAAUCCAAUGCUCCCGAAAUAAAAGCAAUUAAAAGUUAAA